GGUUAAGUGACUAAGCGUACACGGUGGAUGCCUUGGCAGUCAGAGGCGAUGAAAGACGUAGUAACUUGCGAUAAGCCCAGAUUAGGUAGUAACAACCAUUUGAGUCUGGGAUUUCUGAAUGGGGAAACCCACGUGCAUAAGCACGUAUCCUUACCUGAAUACAUAGGGUAAGGAGGCGAACCGGGGGAACUGAAACAUCUAAGUACCCCGAGGAAAAGAAAUCAACCGAGAUUCCGAAAGUAGCGGCGAGCGAAAUUGGACUAGCCCUUAAGCUUUACACGCGUUAGACGAACGGUCUGGAAAGUCCGACGAUACAGGGUGAUAGUCCCGUAGUUGACGACGUGUGUUCAGUGAAAUCGAGUAGGGCGGGACACGUGAUAUCCUGUCUGAAUAUGGGGGGACCAUCCUCCAAGGCUAAAUACUACUGACUGACCGAUAGUGAACCAGUACCGUGAGGGAAAGGCGAAAAGAACCCCUGUGAGGGGAGUGAAAUAGAACCUGAAACCGUGUACGUACAAGCAGUAGGAGCAGGCUUUGUCCUGUGACUGCGUACCUUUUGUAUAAUGGGUCAGCGACUUAUAUUCAGUGGCAAGGUUAACCAUCUAGGGGAGCCGUAGGGAAACCGAGUCUUAACUGGGCGUUCAGUCUCUGGAUAUAGACCCGAAACCAGGUGAUCUAGCCAUGGGCAGGUUGAAGGUUGAGUAACAUCAACUGGAGGACCGAACCGACUAAUGUUGAAAAAUUAGCGGAUGACUUGUGGCUAGGGGUGAAAGGCCAAUCAAACCUGGAGAUAGCUGGUUCUCCCCGAAAGCUAUUUAGGUAGCGCCUCGGACGAAUACUACUGGGGGUAGAGCACUGUUAAGGCUAGGGGGUCAUCCCGACUUACCAACCCUUUGCAAACUCCGAAUACCAGUAAGUACUAUCCGGGAGACACACGGCGGGUGCUAACGUCCGUCGUGGAGAGGGAAACAACCCAGACCGCCAGCUAAGGUCCCAAAUUACUACUAAGUGGGAAACGAUGUGGGAAGGCUCAGACAGCCAGGAUGUUGGCUUAGAAGCAGCCAUCAUUUAAAGAAAGCGUAAUAGCUCACUGGUCGAGUCGGCCUGCGCGGAAGAUGUAACGGGGCUAAGUAGUAAACCGAAGCUGCGGCAAUGUGCUUUUGCACAUUGGGUAGGGGAGCGUUCUGUAAGCGGUUGAAGGUGUGUGGUAACGCAUGCUGGACGUAUCAGAAGUGCGAAUGCUGACAUGAGUAACGAUAAAGGGGGUGAAAAACCUCCUCGCCGGAAGACCAAGGGUUCCUGUCCAACGUUAAUCGGGGCAGGGUAAGUCGACCCCUAAGGCGAGGCCGAAAGGCGUAGUCGAUGGGAAACGGGUUAAUAUUCCCGUACUUCUUACAAUUGCGAUGGGGGGACGGAGAAGGCUAGGUGGGCCUGGCGACGGUUGUCCAGGUUCAAGUGCGUAGGCUUAAGAGUUAGGUAAAUCCGGCUCUUUUUAAGGCUGAGACACGACGUCGAGCACCUACGGGUGUGAAGUCAUUGAUGCCAUGCUUCCAGGAAAAGCCUCUAAGCUUCAGAUUGUAAGGAAUCGUACCCCAAACCGACACAGGUGGUCGGGUAGAGAAUACCAAGGCGCUUGAGAGAACUCGGGUGAAGGAACUAGGCAAAAUGGUACCGUAACUUCGGGAGAAGGUACGCUCUCGACGGUGAAGUCCCUCGCGGAUGGAGCUAUUGAGAGUCGCAGAUACCAGGUGGCUGCAACUGUUUAUUAAAAACACAGCACUGUGCAAAAUCGUAAGAUGACGUAUACGGUGUGACGCCUGCCCGGUGCCGGAAGGUUAAUUGAUGGGGUUAGACUUCGGUCGAAGCUCUUGAUCGAAGCCCCGGUAAACGGCGGCCGUAACUAUAACGGUCCUAAGGUAGCGAAAUUCCUUGUCGGGUAAGUUCCGACCUGCACGAAUGGCGUAAUGAUGGCCACGCUGUCUCCACCCGAGACUCAGUGAAAUUGAAAUCGCUGUGAAGAUGCAGUGUACCCGCGGCUAGACGGAAAGACCCCGUGAACCUUUACUACAGCUUGGCACUGAACAUUGACCCUACAUGUGUAGGAUAGGUGGGAGGCUUUGAAGCACGUACGCCAGUAUGUGUGGAGCCGUCCUUGAAAUACCACCCUUGUAGUGUUGAUGUUCUAACGUCGACCCCUAAUCGGGGUUGCGGACAGUGCCUGGUGGGUAGUUUGACUGGGGCGGUCUCCUCCCAAAGAGUAACGGAGGAGCACGAAGGUGGGCUAAUCACGGUUGGACAUCGUGAGGUUAGUGCAAUGGCAUAAGCCCGCUUGACUGCGAGAAUGACAAUUCGAGCAGGUGCGAAAGCAGGUCAUAGUGAUCCGGUGGUUCUGAAUGGAAGGGCCAUCGCUCAACGGAUAAAAGGUACUCCGGGGAUAACAGGCUGAUACCGCCCAAGAGUUCAUAUCGACGGCGGUGUUUGGCACCUCGAUGUCGGCUCAUCACAUCCUGGGGCUGAAGUCGGUCCCAAGGGUAUGGCUGUUCGCCAUUUAAAGUGGUACGCGAGCUGGGUUUAGAACGUCGUGAGACAGUUCGGUCCCUAUCUGCCGUGGGCGUUGGAAGAUUGAAGGGGGCUGCUCCUAGUACGAGAGGACCGGAGUGGACGAACCUCUGGUGUUCGGGUUGUGUCGCCAGACGCAUUGCCCGGUAGCUAAGUUCGGAAUCGAUAACCGCUGAAAGCAUCUAAGCGGGAAGCGAGCCCUGAGAUGAGUCUUCCCUGAUACUUUAAGUAUCCUAAAGGGUUGUCGGAGACUACGACGUUGAUAGGUCAGGUGUGUAAGUGCUGUGAGGCAUUGAGCUAACUGAUACUAAUUGCCCGUGAGGCUUAACCAU
rnacentral:rRNA from 1 species